CCAGGAUUUGAACCGGGGACCUCCUGGUUACAAGCUCUUUUCUUUAACCAGCAGACCACACAGCCUCCUAGAAAUUAACUGAAAGGUAUGACCAAAAUAGCGUGAGAAAAAGGUGAGACUUAUUUUUAUUUUUCCAAACCCAGCCCAUAUUUUAACUAAACAUUCCAGCUUCCCGCUAAUAUCCUGUUGCAGCUAAUUCCGGAAAUGGUGAAAUUAAAUUUGUGAAUUUAAAAAGUGCAGUUUGUGAUUUAUCAUUGAGUAGAAAGACAAUGUGGACAGUCCACACUAAUUUACAUUGAUAAUCCUGUUUUAUAGCAUGAUCCUCAUUUUACAGUAAAUUGGACCUCUGCACUGCGAUAAUGAGAUGCACAGGAGCAAAGGUGCCAACGAAGGAAGUGAUUGCUCGAGUUAAAAAAAGGCUUUUGAAAAUAGUAUUUUGGUGCAAAGCUAUGAAAAGUGGGGCAGUGCAAAAUUAGCUUACAAGCAAUUACAAUUCAAAUUGUUUAUGUUCAGAACACAAUAUGAACUAACUUUUAAAGCCCUUCAUGCUCUUGCCCUAAAUUACAUAUUAAUAUUCAAUAUAAACUAUCCAUAUUCAGUAUAAACCCUCUAUACUACACUUAUAUAGUUUAAAAUUACCCAGAUCUUCACAUUCAAAUGACAAUAUUUGAGUCCCAAUGUAAUUUUUCCUAUUGAAAACCACCUUUGGAUAUAUCUUUCACUCAGUAUUCUACACAGUUGUCUCCUUCUGACAGCUUUAAUCAACUGCAAAGAUUCAUGUCUUAAAAUUAGCCUCCAUCAAGUAUUGAGUUACCAGAUCUUUUAUUACCAGUAAUACAUUUUAAUUGUGUUUCAUUAAUUGAAAAAAUAAAUAUUAACUAUUUUGUAUGCAUUGCCCUGCACUUAUCUAUUUAUAUAUUGAGCUUUUGUGUAUUAUUAGUUCUUUUCAGCAUCGCAAGACACUUCUUCCGGGACCCUCACCAGCUGCUUUCCCCCCCCCCACAACCAAACAAAUCAGAGUCCUGACAGUGCUGCUAAGGGAAAUACAUAGGGUGCCAAAAAUUAAACACGUCUGAAGACUCAAGCUACACAGAAUUCCUACAGGAUGAUUCUGAAGGUGACAGCCCCGUUCCCACCACAAAAUGAAAAACCAAAGUACAAAAAGAAGACAUUUUUAUUGAAGUGCUGGAAUUGCAAAAGGGAAAUCUUUUGUUGGAAAGGGAAAAACUCGAUUUGGAAAUGAAAAUGCCAAAAUUAAAAAUAGACCAAUUAGGGCAGAGUCAAUAAAAGGGAAGGGCUUGAUA